AGUGAACGCUGGCGGUAGGCCUAACACAUGCAAGUCGAACGGCAGCACAGUAAGAGCUUGCUCUUACGGGUGGCGAGUGGCGGACGGGUGAGGAAUACAUCGGAAUCUACUUUUUCGUGGGGGAUAACGUAGGGAAACUUACGCUAAUACCGCAUACGACCUACGGGUGAAAGCAGGGGAUCUUCGGACCUUGCGCGAUUGAAUGAGCCGAUGUCGGAUUAGCUAGUUGGCGGGGUAAAGGCCCACCAAGGCGACGAUCCGUAGCUGGUCUGAGAGGAUGAUCCGCCACACUGGAACUGAGACACGGUCCAGACUCCUACGGGAGGCAGCAGUGGAGAAUAUUGGACAAUGGGCGCAAGCCUGAUCCAGCCAUACCGCGUGGGUGAAGAAGGCCUUCGGGUUGUAAAGCCCUUUUGUUGGGAAAGAAAAGCAGCAGGUUAAUACCCCGCUGUUCUGACGGUACCCAAAGAAUAAGCACCGGCUAACUUCGUG
rnacentral:rRNA from 1 species